rnacentral:rRNA from 1 species
AGGAUAGAGGCCUACCAUGGUGGUAACGGGUAACGGGGUGUUAGGGCACGACACCGGAGAGGGAGCCUGAGAAACGGCUACCACAUCCAAGGAUGGCAGCAGGCGCGCAAAUUACCCAAUCCCGACACGGGGAGGUAGUGACAAUAAAUAACAAUACGGGGUUCUUUCGGAUCUCGUAAUUGGAAUGAGUACAAUUUAAAUCUCUUAACGAGGAACAAUUGGAGGGCAAGUCUGGUGCCAGCAGCCGCGGUAAUUCCAGCUCCAAUAGCGUAUAUUAAAGUUGUUGCAGUUAAAAAGCUCGUAGUUGAAUUUCGGGGUUAGUAGGUUGGUCAUGCCUCUGGUAUGUACUGGUCUCACUGAUUCCUCCUUCCUGAUGAACCGUAAUGCCAUUAAUUUGGUGUUGCGGGGAAUUUGGACUGUUACUUUGAAAAAAUUAGAGUGUUUAAAGCAAGCUAACGCUUGAAUACAUUAGCAUGGAAUAAUGAAAUAGGACGUUCGAUCCUAUUUUGUUGGUUUCUAGGAUUGACGUAAUGAUUAAUAGGGAUAGUUGGGGGCAUUAGUAUUCAGUUGUCAGAGGUGAAAUUCUUGGAUUUAUUGAAGACUAACUACUGCGAAAGCAUUUGCCAAGGAUGUUUUCAUUAAUCAAGAACGAAAGUUAGGGGAUCGAAGACGAUCAGAUACCGUCGUAGUCUUAACCAUAAACUAUGCCGACUAGGGAUCGGAUGAUGU